GCAAACCACUCCAGUAUCUUUGCCAAAAAAACUCCACAUAUGGUCAUGAAGUGUCAGGUGUGACUGAACAACAAAGCUAUUGUAACAUAACCAAGUUAAGAUGUAAUAAUUAACUUGCCACUACUGAAUCUUGAAUUUCCUUCCUUUAAAAAAUUAGGAAACAAACAAUUUUGGAUUGCCAUUGGCACUAGCAUGGAUCUCCAGGUCAGCUUUCUGUAUAGACUGAUCUAUUUCUUUGAUAGAGGAAAUUUCAUCUACCAAAGCAGCUGAGUACCUUCUCUUCAACUUAGAUUCUAAAAGUCAGCCAAAGUUACAGAAAAGUUAAAUGAUUUGCCCAAACUCACAUAGUCCAGUCAAAUCACAAGCACUUAUCACUAAUCACUAAAUACAAACAAAAAGAAAGGCAGUCUCUUACCUUAAUGAGCUCACGUUCUAAUGGGGGAAGACAUAUCAAGGGGAAGAGUCCAUGGAUAGUGGCCAUGGUGGCCAAGUGCAGAGAAUGAAGGAUGGCUGAUCUGUGCCCUUCCUCAAAAUGGAUAUUCUGAGAGGAACCAACGGGAGAAAAGGAGCACCAGAGUAGGGGGAGAAGGCAGCUGAAACAUGGUAGCAAAAUGUAGAGAGCGAAGCAUGGCUGGUCUGGACCCUUCCUCAAAAUGGAAGUUCCAGGAGGAACUGGCUAAUGGAAGAAGGAGGCCA